CCACAUAUUGUGAAAGUUCUAGGAAUAAUCAACACUUCUCGUGUUGCAGUAAUUCUUUCUAUGGCACUUCUUUGUAGUUAUCCUCCUAUGACAUAUCUCUCAAGACCUUGGUUGUCCAUAGUAGUAAAUAUUGCAUCGAUGCUUAAAAAUAACUUUGUGGUUUUCUUGGGCACAAAAACGCCAACAUGCGUUUUUCUUUCCAGGUGACCAAAUGGUGUUCUUCAUUUUGAUUAUUAUUGAAUUUUUGGAACUCAUUUGGACCUUCAAACCAUUUCUGACCAUGCCAUAGCAAUUCUCUUCAACCCCAAGUAAUCAAGCUUUCAGAUCAUCGAUAAGUUGGGUGGCAUGUCAUGUUUAUACUGCACAUAUGCUUGUUUGGGUAUUUGGAUGGUAGCUAAUGAAGAUUUAUGCAUAUUUGAGGAGCAAUACUUAUGUAUCCUAUCAUGUAAUUGUAGAUAACAUACUAAUACUUAUCCAACUACAUGUGAGAUGUAUUUAAAUGACCUUUCUCCUUUGGUUUGUAAAAUUUAAAUACUCGAUUUUUCACGAAGAUGAAGCAUAAUAUCACGUAAA